UACGUAGGGUGCAAGCGUUAAUCGGAAUUACUGGGCGUAAAGCGUGCGCAGGCGGUGAUGUAAGACAGGUGUGAAAUCCCCGGGCUUAACCUGGGAACUGCAUUUGUGACUGCAUCGCUGGAGUGCGGCAGAGGGGGAUGGAAUUCCGCGUGUAGCAGUGAAAUGCGUAGAUAUGCGGAGGAACACCGAUGGCGAAGGCAGUGUCCUGGGGAGUACCUGACGCUCAGGUGCGAAAGCCAGGGGAGCGAACGGG
rnacentral:rRNA from 1 species